AUGAAGGAAGGAUCCAAAACUCAGGGGGCAUUGGGUUGCUUCCCAACCAAUCAAAGAGACCAAGUACCGAAAGCCAAGUUUUUCCCCAUGAAGGUAUAUAUGUGACACCACCGUGUGCCCGAAUCCAGUUUCUGGCUCUAGCACAAGCAUUGUCUUGACCGCCAUCAGGUCCUUCUCCGAGAAUUCGCAUACAUAUAUAGUUAAGUGCAGUACAAAACAUGGUGCUGUGAC
rnacentral:lncRNA from 1 species